GCUGAAACUUGUGAAGAAUCAGGUAAGGUCUGUUCAAAGGCAAGGGGCUCAGAUCUCUGUAUAGCAAAUGAAACACCAAUUGUGGGGUAGGAGUUUUUGCUUUUGCUUAAAGUGCAUGUUUGCUGAGAGGAAAAAAACCCACUAUAUUGAGCGUGGCUUACUUGCAGGUAGCAGGGCAAAUGGCAUGUUAACCUUGUGGCUAAAAGCAGCAGGGCUUGAGGGAUCAGCUAAGCCUUCGAUCCUGCCAUAGUCCCAAUGCUCAUGAGAGCCGGGGGUGGAAGAUAAAAGGGGAUGCCUCUUUGCUGUGCCAGUUCCCAGGCUGGUACAGGAAAAGAGGCCUGGAUCAGGCCCAUUGCUAUCACGCGACGGCAGCAGGGUCAUCUUGAGAUCCCUUGCCAUCUUACCUCUAACUCUGAAAGCUAUGUUUCAGAAGGUUCCAUGGGCUAUUGCUGAUGGAAAUGCCACCAGCCAUAGCUUCCACCUGUCUGUCAUUUCGGCAGAUGUCUUGGGGAAAUUCCUUAGUGGUGGGUCUCCUGCAUUGAUGAAGGCUAGCAUAGCAAGACAAGGCUAUGCAUAGGGAAACCUAGAUGUCAUCCAAACAAUCCUUCAUCACAGCAGGGUUUUUUUUUGGGGGGGGGGUUAUAUCCAAUGUGAGUCUUACUGAGAGAAGUCUCAUUGAAGUUAAGGAGGAUGACUACCUUAGACUCAUUAAUUUCAAUUGGUCUACUCAGAGUAAAAGUCGCAUUGGAUGCUUACAACCUAGGAGUGGUUUGUGCUGUUAUGCCUGGUGUCUGGCUUUCACACACAACAAGUUUUUUGUAUUAAAAAAGGAGUUCAAGUGGCUAUUUAGAUGCAAUAAAAUGGGUGUGCAGAAACUGGCUGCCCCAAUAUUCUCUCAGUAGCUAUGUGGCUAAGUGUUAUGGGAUAUUUAUGGUUACAUAUUUUUAGUUCUCUUUUAUGCAUGCAAAACUGGGGGUUGCAGGCUUAAAGCAACACGCCAGAUUGAUGUGGGGGUGGAGGGUGGCGUGGGGGUAGAUGAAACAGCCAAGGGAUUUUACAGGUAACAAAAAGAACAAGAUGACUGGUGAAGUGGAAUAUGCAUAGUUCAGUGGUAGAACAUCUGCUUUGCAUGCAGAAGGUCACAGCCUCUAUUCCUGGCAAUAAUAAUAAUAAUAAUAAUAAUAAUAAUAAUAAUAAUAAAUUUAUAUCCCACUUAUCAGGCUGGGUUUCCCCAGCCAUUCUGGGUGGCUCCUGACAGAAUUAAAAGCACAAUAAAACACCAGACAUUAAAAAUUUCCCUAAACAGGGCUGCCUUCAGAUGUCUUCUUCUAAAAAUCAGAUAGAUGUUUACCUCCUUGACAUCUACUGGGAGCGCAUUCCACAGGGCAGGUGCCACUACUGAGAAGGCCCUCUGCCUGGUUCCCUGUAACCUCACUUCUCACAGGGAGGGAACCGCCAAAAGGCCCUCGGAGCUGGACCUCAGUGUCCAGGCUGAAUGAUGGGGGUGGAGACGCACCUUCAGGUAUACUGAAGGUAUAUCUCUGAGUAAGGCUGAGUAAGGUAUAUCUCUGAGUAAGACUGGGCGAAAUUCCUUAUCUUAAAUCCUUAGAAACUGCUGCCAGGGUUGAUAAUACUGAGAAAGGUGGACCAAUGGUCUGACUUGGAAUAAAGUAGCUACCCAUGUUCUGGGGCAUUUUUUCAGCCGGAACUCACUGGAACUCAGUUCUGGCAACUCUCAGGUAGACGUCAUUGCCAUUCAAAGAGAAUGAGGGAGGUGUUCACGGUGAGUUCCCGCACCAUUUUUUCUAGAAAAAUAGCACUGCUGUGUUCCGUUUUUAUGAGGGUUCUUCAAAUUCCUGUCUGUGACUAUAUGGAAUGUGGGGAGGAUGUUAGUUUGGUUUCCAAUUUAUUCCCCACUUCCUGAGACAAUACACAAACUGAAAUGCAGCCAUCCUUUGAAAUUUGUUCUCCUCUGAAUUUCCAAUACAGCUUCCCAACCCUGUCCCAAUGUGCUCUAAACUAUGUAGAUUAGGGAACUGUGUGCAUCAAAAUACACAUAUUAGCACAAAUAGCAUCUUUCAAAAAUAAGUAUUAUUAGGCAAAAAUGCAAACGAAAAUGUCCAUAUUAGAAGAAAUUUGCAUUACAAUUCUGAUUAUUUUUUGUGAGGACAUGUAUAUAUGAUGCAGAAAUAUGCAGAAUUUGAGAAACUCCGAGAAUCUGAAAUAUAUAGAUUUGUCUAUACCUAUCUGGGGAUUGUGAGUAAUAGUCAUAGUAAUAGUAGUAGUAAUGGUAAUAGUAUUGGUAAUAGUAGAUGGUAAUAGUAGCAGUAACAGUAGUAUUGGUAGUGGUAGUAAUGGUAUUAGUUGUAGCAGUAGUAAUAAGAAUAAGUAAUAGUAGUGGUAAAAUAGUAGUAAUGAUAAUAAAAAUAGUAAGAUGAUGAAGAUGACAACGAGGAUGCAGUUUUUCAGUCAAACUGUUUGUGGUAAUGAUCAGUUCUCUUCUCCCUGGUGAUGGACAAAAUUAAGAAGGCCUCUGGUCAAAAUUGCCAACCAACUUUAUCUAGAAAGAAGAGAGUGGGGGUUGAUUUGCUCAUACCCAAUAUAAGAAUCCUGAAAGUAUCUCUUGUGUAGAAGAGACAUUGAGAAAAGGCCAUAGCUCAGUGGGGUAGAGCAGGGAUGUCCAACAGGUCGAUCACGAUCUACUGGUCAAUCCCCAGGAGGUGUUCGUAGAUCAGUCGAUCGCGGGCUCCCGUUCCUUUGUGUUGGCAAAAGAGCAACUGGCCCCACCCCCUCACCCCAUCCACCAUUCAUGCAUGAUCGCUAGAACGGAAGACGGAGUUUUCACUGUGAGGCUGAUCGCUUCCUUAGCGAUCUUUUGGUGAGCAACUUUUCCCCUUUCCCCUUUAUCAACAUUUUUGAAUCUCCUCCCUAAAAAAAGAUUGCAGUCUCUUGGGAGUUGGACAUCCCCGGAGUAGAGCAUCAUCUUUGCAUGCAGAAGGUCCCAGGUUCAAUCCCUAGGACACCUCCAGAGAAAACCCUGCAUAGACCCUGGAAAGCCACUGCCAAUCAGAUACCAAUGGGAAGCACGCGGGCAGGACCUGGGUGCAACACGCCACACAUGCCAUUCCCAGAAACUGGUAUUCAGAGACAUGCUUCCAAAACAGUGUUGGUGAAACAUAGCCAUCAUAGCUAGAGGCCAAUGCUUUAGGUCAGGCCUGUCCAACCGGUCGAUCACGAUCUACAGGUUGAUUGUGGGCUGUCCCUGGUCAUUUCUGGUUGAGCUCCAGCGAUUGCCCAAUCACCCCUCCAAAAAAAAACCCUCAACAACUUAACAACUUUGGUCAUUUCCCCCCCAAAAAACUCAACAAUUCUGGUCGAUCCAAUGGGUAGAUCACUGCCAGUUUAUUCAUAGUGGGAGUAGGUCGCAGUCUCUUGGAAGUUGAACACCCCUGCUUUAGGUUAAUUGCUUCAUUAUUUGUGAUAUGUGUCUUUCCCCACUUCAUUUUAGAUUUGCCUCCCACCACAUAGCCAUGGUUUUCCCCGGGGAGCUUUGUGGCUACAACGUCUCCUGCAGCACAAGCCUCCCCUCAACAACGCUCCUAUUGCAACCACCAGCUAUUGUGGCUGAAACAAAGCUGACAGACCUAGAGAUCCUCAUCCCGGAGCCCCCGCCUUGUGAAAUCCCAGAAUGUGGCUUCGAUCCAUGCCACUUGCCUCCAUGGUACUGCCACCUUCCUCCUGAGCCACCCAUCAUUUUUGCCACCUUCACCACUUGCCUUCAUGAAGCAUAGGUGCGGCUUGCCGGCGGCCAUCUUGCAAUAGGCCUGUUUCAGGCAGGAGGUGCUGCGGACAGGAAGUAGGGGCUGCAUUAGGAACGGGAGUCUGGAGCAAUGCUCCACACAUUGGGGCCACACUUGUUAUUGGCGCCUGUCCUUAAAGGUUCAGGAUCGGCAGCCAUCAUCCAUUUUGUAUAUCCAUGUAGUAG